GGCAUGGUGGCUUACAUGUGCAAUCCCAAUACUUUGGGCGGCUGAGGCUAUCUUGAGCCCAGGAGUUUAAGACCAGCCUAGGCAAUAUGGCAAGACCUCAUCACCACAAAACAUACAAAAGUUAGCCAGGAAAAAAAAAGACUUGGCAGAGAAGAAGAAAAGAACAUGGAGGCACUUGGGGAGGCCGAGUAAGGAGAGAAGGACACCAAAGACAGG